rnacentral:rRNA from 1 species
AUGGUGCAAAUGUCGACAUCGUCGAUGAGAAUUCGCCCGCCGGAGGGGUCGAUGAGGCGGAACAACGCGCUCAGGAGAGUGGUCUUCCCGCUCCCGGUUCUUCCAACAACUCCAAUCUUGUUUCCAGCUGCAAAUGUGCAAGUGAUCCCGCGCAAAACCGUAGGCGCAUUUUCGCGAUACUUGACCUGA